rnacentral:tRNA from 1 species
GCCUGGGUAGCUCAGUGGUUGAGCAUCUGCCUUCAGCUCAGGGCAUGAUCCCAGCGCUCUGGGAUCAAGUCCCACAUCAGGCU